rnacentral:rRNA from 1 species
GACGAACGCUGGCGGCGUGCUUAACACAUGCAAGUCGAACGGAAAGGCCCUGCUUUUGUGGGGUGCUCGAGUGGCGAACGGGUGAGUAACACGUGAGUAACCUGCCCUUGACUUUGGGAUAACUUCAGGAAACUGGGGCUAAUACCGGAUAGGAGCUCCUGCUGCAUGGUGGGGGUUGGAAAGUUUCGGCGGUUGGGGAUGGACUCGCGGCUUAUCAGCGUGUUGGUGGGGUAGUGGCUUACCAAGGCAUUGACGGGUAGCCGGCCUGAGAGGGUGACCGGCCACCUUGGGACUGCGAGACGGCGCAGACUCCUACGGGAGGCAGCAGUGGGGAAUAUUGCCCAACGGGCGGAAGCAUGAUGCAGCAACGCCGCGUGCGGGAUGACGGCCUUCGGGUUGUAAACCGCUUUCGCCUGUGACGAAGCGUGAGUGACGGUAAUGGGUAAAGAAGCACCGGCUAACUACGUG